AUUUAUGGCCAUAUCACAUUCAAAACAUCAAUUCUCACUUGAUCAUUGGAGUCAAGUAAUGUCAAGUCUACUAAGUGCUUGAGAAAUCUUAAUGCUGUGAGCA
rnacentral:rRNA from 1 species